UAUAAUAUACAAAUGAAUCAAUAAUAAGCUAAUGAAACACCAACUCAAGUGUAAUUGUACUUUUCCCAUUGAAGUUGUCAUGAGUGCCUUAAGCCACAUUCAUUGCAUUAUUGGCCAAUUAUAUUUACUGUUCUUCAAUGAGGGACGUAAUGAAUGGCCAAUGCUCAGUCACUCAUCUCUGAAUAGCAUACCGGUUACCAGGGAUACCGAGAGAGGAGAGAGGCAUUUUGAAUGACGUCAAUAUGCAUUGAUACUCUAUUAUCGACAAUAAUGACUACCACGGCACCAUACGCGCAUGAUAAGAGGUCUAUUCUGAAGUAGGAGGAGGAGGAGGUGUGUGUGUGUGUGUGUGUGUGUGUGAGAUCACAAGGAGCCGGAAAAACACUUACAGCUCGUGCUGAGGAAAAGGCAGAAUUCACAGAGAGUGAGAGAGGGCAUCAGGCUAUCCCCACUCACGGCUAGCAAAGUUGUUCUCCGCGUCGGGACUACAAGAACAGAAAUCCCGGGAUUCUUGUGGCAUUAGGAUCGCAUGCCGUUCGGCCAGUCAGUGGAGGGCCUCGGUCUGUCAACCCCCCACUCCCCCUCACCCCUCCAUCGCUCAGUGGGCCCCCUACUCCCACCCUACCCUUCUUCCAGCUAGGCCUCACCCGGGCAUUCUCUGUCCCCUGGUCAAAGAGACCAAUCAAAGGACCCCGGGACCUCAAAGCUCUGUGGUGAAUUUUCCAGGCCACGUCCAGACGUGGCCGACGAGUGAACAUCAAGGUGCGGAACAAGAUGGAGCUGCUGAGGAUAUAGAAAGUCAUUGUGACUCCAUCCCUUUCCUGCCUUGGUUUCCCUCCUACCUGGGAUAUGAGCCCUAUCAAAUCAAUAGAUCAGGAGCUUCGGCUCAACGCUCUGCAGGCCGACUGGCUGCUGGCUGCCAAAGGCUGCAACAUGUAAAUGAACCAACCUUACGACGACGCAGCGAGGCAGGGAACUGAACCAUGAACGCCUCGGCUCAGCUCCUCAGAUCCUCAGCUCCUCAGAUCCUCAGCCUUUGUGACGUCUAAACCGCAUCUGACCGCCAGGAACACCUCAACCCCCCUGCCUCACAACCCAGCCCCCUUGUUUAUAGACUACAGGACUCAGUGUUAUAAGGACUGUCUGAAUCCCAACCCUACGGAAUUACUGGCUGAAUUCAGGCUAACAGACAAGGCCUUCAAACCUGCAGUAUUACUUUAUGAAAACUAUAAUCAAAGCUUUAAAAUCAUACUACUAUGAAAACGACAUUAGAGCUCUGAAAGAUGAAGAGAUUCCAAACAGGCUGUAUUAUAGUCCUACAAGCAUAACUGACAAUAACCGUCUGAAAUUAGCCCAGAGCCUUUAAGCCAUAUGUGGCCCCCGGAGUGGACUGACUGUUAGACGAGGCACAAGGCAGCAGUGGAGCACCACAGAGACUGUAGAUAGAUUGUAAUAAACAAAUGAAUAGAAAGGAAGCUGAGUGAGUGAGUGGCAGAAUGCUCUUCUGUGCUGUGUCGGCACUCUGAUUCCGUUUGUGCUAUUACAUAAUUAAAUUUGGACUUGGAUCAUGCUUUUUAAGAGAUUAUGUGAGCAUAUGUUGCUUGAACACAUGCCAGCCUGUGAAAUGGGGCUCCUUUCAUGAGUACUCUAUUAGGUUUAGAGAGUUUAUUGAAAAUCAGAAUUAGCUCGCUGCCAACAGUUAAUGAAUUGGUGUUAUGAUCCUAGUCCAAAGGAUGGCUGGUUGCUAUAAUUUAGGAUCGACAUCUGCAAGAGAAAAUAAGGAAAAUCUGCUAAACAAAGAUUGUAAAUGAAGACGUCAAUGUACUUUGGGGGCCUUUCGAUUUUAUAAGGAUUUAUUGACUGCCUGCCGUUUGAAAUGUGCUGUGUGGUAUAUGUUAGAGUAUUUAUAGAAACUGAAAAAGUGUCUCUCUCUUUCCUCUCCAGUUCCCUUUGUCUUUUCUCUAGUUCUCUUCUCUCCACCAAAGACUCCUCCCUUUCUAGGGAAUGUCUCUGUCCCCUAUGUUGUCCAAUCCACAGUCCAAUCUCUCUUACUCCCUCUCCACACUCAUGUUCCACUACCAUCUCUCUCUCUCUGUGCCCUCUUCCUAUAGUUCUCUCUCUCUCUCUCCUUCCUGUAUUCAACUACUUUUUCUAUUUCCAUCCCUGCUAGGACAUUCCUUCAUAUGAGGGUGGACAAGCCAGUUGGCCCUAGUUUAACAGACACAUUUCUCAGCGCGUUCUCUCGCUUGCUCUCUCUCUCUCUCUCUCUCU